rnacentral:rRNA from 1 species
UACGUAGGGACCAAGCGUUGUCCGGCAUCAUUGGGCGUAAAGAGCGUGUAGGCGGCUUGUUAAGUCUUGCGUGAAAUCUCGGGGCUCAACCCCGAGCGGUCGUGAGAAACUGGCAGGCUAGAGUGCGGGAGAGGAGAGUGGAAUUCCUGGUGUAGCGGUGAAAUGCGCAGAUAUCAGGAGGAACACCGGUGGCGAAGGCGGGUCUCUGGGCCGAUAUUGACGCUGAGGAGCGAAAGCGUGGGGAGCGAACAGG